GCUAUGUGUCAUUAGUACUAGUGUGUGUGUGUGUGUGUGUGUGUGUGUGUGUUUCACUGCAGACCAGCAGUGCUCAUACAGUAGCUUAGACUUCCUUACCACUUGUUCCUGCAUGCAGAGGUCAGGAAGGCCUUCACUCAGAGGAAUAAAACACAAGAGAACGGACAGAAUAGGAACGAAAGGCUGUCUCUUCCUCCCAUUUUGGCGACUGGCACUCGGGAUGACCUUUAUUGUCUGGCAGGGUCAGCAUUGACUGUCUGAUGCACCUGCCUGCAACAAUCCAGGUCAACUUCCUGGAAGAGCUAGACAUACUGCUGUCCUCUUUCCCGGAGGAUGGAUCACUGCUGUUACAGCAGUCCUUGGUGACUUCAGCAUCCACCUAGACAAACUUCAAGUAGCUGAUUUUCAUAACUCUUCUGGCCUCAUUCAAUCUUGCAAGCGAGGAAGCCCUGCGACACACAAAACAGGCAGUCAGCUAGACCUCAUACUCAAACAUAACUAUCACUGUCAUCCAGCUUUUUAUUCCAUUACAUUUCUCGGACCACUUCUUUCUCCAGGUUUUGUGUCACUCUAACUUCUUGUCCACUAACUGGCUCCUCCUCUGGUCACCUUUUGCCAUAACCUCUGCUUUAAUUCAAUUCAAUUCACAUUUAUUUGUGUAUCACUUUUCAUAAUACAUAUUGUUUCAAAGCAGCUUUGAAAGAAAAAUGCAUGUUUCUAAUGUUCUGUUAUCAGAUGUGACUGUGUCAAAGUAAUGUCCAUAUGUCAAAAAUGUACAGUUCUAAGAUAAUACAGAUAAUACAGUUAGCUAAUAUCAUGUAUUUAUUUACACUCUUAAAAAUAAAGGUUCUUUAUUGGGAUUGAUGGUUCCAUGAAGAAUGGUUCUUUUUGGAACUGUUCACUGAAAGGUUUUUAGGAGAACCCAAAAUAGUUCUUCAAUUGCAGCGCUGUAAAAACCCCCUUUUGGAACCUUUAUUUUUAAGACUGUAGGCAAAAACUAUGUUUUCAUUAAAGCAAUUAUUAAAAGUUGUAAUCAUAAUGAUUAUAAUAUAGGCCUAUAGAAAAUCUGGCAGUGAUGCAUGUUGAUUCAGAGCUGGCAUCAUCUGAAGUCUUUGCAGGAGUUGGCGUCAUGUCUUUACAGGUGUUGGGGCAUCUGAAAUCUUCGUAAGAGGCUGGAUCGAAACUGGAGCUGGCGUACUCUGGGAAUCCUGAGGUAGAGACAGAAAAGCAAAUGGAAAAUAAUUAGCUUAGUUGCUGUUCAUAAUAUUUCAAGCAAAAGAUAAUCAUGUGCAUUUGAUCUGAUAUAACUGGAGUACAAGGCUAUGAGGUGCUUUAUGUGAAUGCUUGGCUUAAGAGAUAUGUCUUUAAUCUAGAUUUAAACUGGGAGACUGUGUCUGAGCUUCGAACAUUAUCAGGAAGGCUAUUCCAGAGUUUAAAUGUGAAAACACUCUACCUCCUUUAGUGGACUUAGACAUCCUAGGUACAACCAAAAUAUCCAGUUUUUUGUGACCUUAAAGAGCAUGAUGGAUUGUAGGGCGAUAGAAGAUCAGUUGAGUACACAGGAGCUAAACCAUUUAGGGCCUUAUAGGUCAGUAGCAAUACUUUGUAAUCGAUACAGAACUUAAUAGGUAACCAGUGUAGAGAUGAUAAAAUUGAGUUUAUAUGAUCAUAUUUUCAUGACCUGGUAAGAACUCUAGCAGCUGCAUUUUGGACUAACUGUAGCUUGUUUAUUGAGAAUGCAGGACAACCCCCUAGUAGUGCAUUACAGUAAUCCAGUCUUGAGGUCAUGAAUGCAUGAACUAGCUUUUCUGCAUCAGAAACAUGAGUAUCAUCGACAUAACAGUGGAAAAUAAUUCCAUGUUUUCUAAUAGUAUUACCAAGAGGGGCAGCAUGUAUACUGAAAAUAGCAGAGGACCUAAAACAGACCCUUGCGGCACUCCAUAAUGUACUGACAUUAACUUGGAUAAUUCCCCAUUUAAAUAAGCAAAAUUGUAAUGGUCAGAUAGGUACAAUCUAAACCAACCUAAUGCCUGUCACAAAAUACCGGUGUAAUUUUGUAAUCAAUCUGAGAGUAUGUCAUGAUCUAUAGUGUCAAAUGCAGCACUAACAUCAAGUAAAACUAGUACUGAGAUGCAGCUUUGGUCAGAAGCUAAAAGUAAGUCAUUUGAAAGUAAUUUUAACGAGCACAGUUUCUGUGCUAUGAUGGGGCCUGAAUACUGACUGUGUCUGCAUCCCUUCUCUCCACUAAUCACUUCUCUUGAUGUCAGUGUAUCUAUACUGAUACUUUCUCUGCUCCACAUCCUGCCUUGAUAAUAUCUGUCCUCCAGGCCAGCACAUACACUACGACACCCUCCAGACCUUGGCUCAAAAAUGCUCUUCGUGACUAUAGAACCAAGCUGUCUUACUCCCAAAAAACACCUCAGACAAUUGUAGACUAUUCACAACAUUCUCCUCUCUGCUCUGUGCUCCUCCACCCCCUCACACUUAUUCUGACUGCUGAUGACUUUGCCACCUAUUUCACUGAUAAGGUGGCAAUCCUCAUCAACCAGUUCUCUACAACACUCACCCACAGCCAAACUCCACCUACACACAUUCCAAUCUUCUCUUCUUUCUGUUCCCUCACUGAGAACAAGGUCUCCAAAGUUCUCUGUACAAGCCAUUCUGCAACCUGUCACUUAGACCCGAUCUCCUCCCACUUCCGACAGGAGAUUUCCCUAACACUGCUACCAGCUCUCACUCGCAUCACCAACACCUCUCAGGCAACUUUCUCACCGCAUUUAAGUAGGCCAAAAAUCAACACUCAAUCCUACAGCAGAUGAAUCUACAGACCAGUCUCUCUCCAUCAUUUUCUUCUGAAAGACUUGUUUUCAAUAGCUCUCUGCUUUUCUCUCACAGAAGGUUCUACUUGACAACAACCAGUCUGGCUUCAAAAGUGGACACUCCACAUCAGUUAACUACUGGGGUGCCUCAAGAUUCUUUUCUUCUUUUCUCCAUUUACACAACCUCAUUGGGUGCUACCACCACUCCUACCAUGGCUAUGCAGAUUAUACACAGUCAUUAAAAUCUGACUCCUCACUGUCUCAACAUAUAUCACUGUCUGAGUGUCGGACAUCUUGGCAUUGAUGAUGAAACAUCAUCUCCAGCUCAAACUUGUGAAAAUGGAGCUCCUUGCAAUCCCGUUACUUGACCACAAUUUCACUGUUCCACUGCAACACGCCAACCAGGACGGCAAGGAACCUGGGGUUAGUGUUUGAUGACAACCUGAGCUAUACCACCAAUGUUUCAGCCAAGACCCUGUCAUAAAGGAUUGUGCUUUAUAACAUCAGAAAAAUUCAGACCCUUCCUGUCAAAGUACAUUGCUCAGCUCCUCGCCCAAACAUUUUUGGUGAUCAUUUAGUGGAGACAAACAAAUUAUGUUUUGUUAACAAAGUUCGGGAGGAGCAGGUUCAGAUAAUAAACCUAAUUAGCACAAGUGGAAAGCAUUCAGCUAAUCAUUUCAACCAACAACAAGAGGUAUAUAUACUGCAGACUUACAUCUGUUCAUUGACAGUUUAUCAGCAUCCCUCCACCACCCCGUCUCCUCACUUCUAGUUCUAUCUAUUAUUACCAAAUCGGAGGGAGUACUCUGGGUUCGGGCCAAAAUUCCAAGCUCGGAGCCCUCCCCCCGGACAGCACGCCAAAUAUGCAUAGCUUUACUCUAUUUAAUUAUGUGUGAAGUCGUGAAACACAAACACGUUUCUCCACCAUUUCUCAGGUUUAGAACAACAUGAUGAUAAGUAAAUGAUGACAAAAUUUUAAUUAUUCGGCUUUGACGCUAGCUUUCAGGAGAGCCGCUAGAACCUCACAAGUUGCUCUCCAAAAACUUCACCCUCUCUGCUUCUCUCUGGUGAAAUGAGUUGCCAACCUCCAGCAAAUCUGCUGAAACUAUCACAACUU